rnacentral:rRNA from 1 species
CAGCAGCCGCGGGAAUACGUAGGUGGCAAGCGUUGUCCGGAAUUAUUGGGCGUAAAGCGCGCGCAGGCGGAUCGGUCAGUCUGUCUUAAAAGUUCGGGGCUUAACCCCGUGACGGGAUGGAAACUGCCAAUCUAGAGUAUCGGAGAGGAAAGUGGAAUUCCUAGUGUAGCGGUGAAAUGCGUAGAUAUUAGGAAGAACACCAGUGGCGAAGGCGACUUUCUGGACGAAAACUGACGCUGAGGCGCGAAAGCCAGGGGAGCGAACGGGAUUAGAUACCCCGGUAGUCCCUGUCUCUUAUACC